rnacentral:rRNA from 1 species
AAAUUAGUUUUAUAUAAAGUUUGGUAUUGCAUAUCAUUUAAAAAAAAUUUUAUAAUAAUAAAUAAUAAAAUUAAAAGGUAGAAAAAUUUAUUAUUUUUAUUGUUUCAUAAUAAAAAUUAUAAUUUUUAGGGUUGAAAAGUCGACUUUUAAGAUAUUUGUGUUUUUGUGUAUAAUUAGAAAUUUAUUAUGAUGAUAAUUGUUAAUUAUAAACAGUAAAAGUUGAAGUAUUUUUAUUUCUAGUUUUAUAACAGUUUAUUUGAAGAUUGAUUAGAUUUUUAUUAUAUGUAAUAAAAUUGUAUUGCAUAUAUUAUUUUAAAAUUAGUAAUUUUGUUUGAAUAUUAUUUAGGUUUUUAAUAUAAUUAGAAAACUCAGAAGUUAAUCAAAUGUUUAUUAAAGACUUAGACUCUUAUAUAGAGUUGGCUUCUGCCCAGUGAUGUAAAUUUAAAUGGCAGUCUUAGCGUGAGGACAUUAAGGUAGCAAAAUAAUUUGUGCUUUUAUUGAGUUCCAGUAUGAAUGAAGUUAUUGGUUAAUUUAUUUUUUAAUUUUUAAAUGAAAUUUUAUUUAAUAUAAAAAAGUAUUAAUAUAAUAAGACAAAGAUAAGUCUUCGGAAAUUCUUUUUUAGUAUUUAUGUUUAAAUUUAUAUUAAAAAUUUUCUAGGGCAGAAUUUUAUAUAAUUAUUAUUUCUAUUAAUAAUUUUAAGAAUUACUCCGGAGUUAACAGAAAAUCAUAUCUGAUCUAGUUCUUAUAGUAAGAUAAGUUUUACAUCGAUGUUGUAUUUAAGUUUAUUAAAAAAGGAGAAGAUUUAAAAUUUAAGACUGUUCUUCUUUUAAUUAAUUUAACGUGAUAUUAGUUUAAUUCAUUGUGAGAUAGAAUUGUUUAUCUUGUUUAUUAUUAAGAUUUAGUUUUAAUAGUACGAAAGGAAAAUUAAAAAAAGUUUAAAACUUUUAUAGGUUGUGGCUUA